CACACACACACAGAAAAACAAAAAACAAAUCUCACAUUUGACCAAAUGUGCCUGCAGCUGUCAAACACUGCAUUUAAUGCUUUCUCCCUCUCCUUUUCAUUCUCCCAGUUGCGCGCGCCUGCACGUCCCCCACGCAGGCGCGCGCGUGCACACAGUGAGACCAACGCUCGCCAAUGCACUGCACAGGAGCCCCUGACAGUGCCCGUGCAUGCUGCCUGGCGUCUCUGCCGCUCCGCUGGAUGUUUGCGCAGAGGACACCUGCCUCCGCCGCUGCAACACCCACCUCGUUUCCACCUCCUAACUUUUGCAACGUGUUACUGUUUUUUUUGUUGUUGCUGUCGCGUGCUUCUGUUCCAAGAUUAUGUUUCUAUCGGAUGAAAAAACGCUGUAGAGCCCGGGCGUUUGACUUCCAACUUGGCACUUGGAUGGAUAUGUGUGACAGGUCUGGAAAGUUGCCCUGCGUUAGGGAGCAUGGGCGCAAACUUUAAGAGUUUUUUUUUAAUAUUUAUAUAAUAGGGAGACAGUUAGUUUAUAAUGAAGGCAGGUGAGUCGCCCCUCGCGUGAGAGGAACUACUCCGGGGCUCUCCAGGUACUGGGAACGGAAAGGACGACACGGACAAAGUCGUGAUCUGUGCGGCGGAUUGCGCCACGGAGGACGAAGGGAACGUACCGAUGAGACAACAUGGGUCCAAUGCUGUGUGAUGGACGACUGACACACCUUCUCUUUCCUCUCCUGCUCCUCUUGCGGGCUCCCCUGCUGUUCAGCUUUAAUGAGCGCACCUGUCCCAAUAGCUGCCGAUGUGAGGGGAAGACGGUCCAUUGUGAUUCAGCUGGCUUCUUAGAUGUCCCAGAAAACAUCUCUGUAGGCUGCCAAGGCCUCUCCCUGCGCUACAAUGAACUACACACCCUGCUGCCAUAUCAAUUUGCUCACCUCAGCCAGCUUCUUUGGAUCUACUUGGACCAUAAUCAGAUUUCAGCUGUCGACAGUCGAGCAUUCCAGGGGGUCCGCAGGCUUAAAGAGCUGAUACUAAGCUCCAACAGGAUCACAUCCCUGCACAAUUCAACAUUCCAUGGAAUUCCCAAUCUUCGCAGUCUGGACUUGUCCUACAACAAAUUGGAAAUCCUGCAGCCUGGUCAAUUUCAUGGCUUACGGAAACUGCAAAACCUACACCUACGCUCGAAUGGUCUUUCCAACAUCCCAAUUCGAGCAUUCCUGGAGUGCCGAAGUUUGGAGUUUUUAGAUUUGGGCUAUAAUCGAAUCAAGGCUCUUACCCGUACAACCUUUUUGGGGCUACAGAAGCUGAUGGAGUUGCAUCUGGAGCACAACCAGUUUUCACGGAUCAACUUUUUUCUGUUUCCACGCUUAGCCAACCUGAGAUCACUCUAUCUGCAGUGGAACCGUAUUAAGGUGGUCAACCAGGGCCUGCCGUGGACUUGGUAUACACUGCAAAAACUUGAUCUGUCUGGAAAUGAAAUCCAGACCCUAGACCCGGCUGUGUUCCACUGCUUGCCCAACCUUCAAGUCCUCAACCUGGAAUCCAACAAACUGUCCAAUGUGUCUCAAGAGGCGGUGUCAGCAUGGAUCUCAUUGACCUCCAUCAGCCUUGCUGGGAACAUGUGGGAUUGUGGAACUGGUAUUUGCCCACUUGUGGCUUGGUUGAGGAAUUUUCGGGGAAGUAAAGACACCACUAUGAUAUGCAGCAGUCCAAAAUAUCUCCAAGGUGAAAAAAUUAUGGAAGCCACGAGGAACCAUGGUAUUUGUGAGGAAACAGAUUACGUUCUGACUGAAACACCCUCACCAAUGUCAGAGCUCAUUUCCGAAGCUACCGGGGAACCAACCUUUGCUCCUACUAGCGGCUCUCCGCCUAUGCCACCAGCCAGCACCUUUGGUCCCGUCCCACCAUUCAGACCUCGACCGAUUCCUCAUCCUACCUUUCCAGGGCAGAUGAGCAAAAACCCAAGAGACUCAGUUGCUGGCACUCGACCCACCUUCAUACCACCCCCAGAGUUUGAACACAUGACUCUGCACAAAGUGGUGGUAGGCAGCGUGGCACUCUUCUUCACCAUGUCCCUAAUCUUGACAAUUAUCUAUGUGUUGUGGCGGCGCUAUCCAGGUGCAACCAGGUUGCUGCAGCAGCGAUCCAUGGUGGGGCGGAGGCGUCGCAAAAAGAGUCCGGAGCCAGAGCAGAACCUGAGCUCCCAGCUCCAAGAGUAUUAUAUGAGCUACAACCCUGCUGCCACGCCAGAGGCAUUGGAGGUGCUAGGAAAUGGCACUGGUUCCUGCACAUGCACAAUAUCUGGCUCCAGGGAGUGUGAGGUAUGAUUCAUCGCAUCAGCCUAAAAAUAGAAACUCAAAAUCAAAAUACAAAGGCUCAACAGAGAGAACGAGUACACGUGCCCACGCCCCCUACCCGGUGCCUGGCUGGGAGAUGUGCCUACCAUCCAUUAACCACUAAAAGGAACUGCUUUGGAUUGUGCAGCAAACGAGCAUACAGAGGAGAGAGAGAGAGAGAGAGAGAGAGAGACAGACACAUAUACAGUGAACCCAUCAGGAUCCUACUCCAUGUCACAUUCUAGGAUACAGUAAAAAUGGUCCUCCACGCUAAAAGGGCAACCACUGACCACCACAAAGAGAAGAUAUUAGGAUCUUUUUAUUUCUUCUUAAGAUUUUAUAUCUUUUUUUUGGCCUUUGGUCUUUGGUUAUCAGCUUUUCUGCAUUCCAUCAUUCAUCAUAACGACCUGUUCUUAAUACUGCCCCAGAUGGUUGUGGAAACACAGUCCCAUGUUGAAUAGCAGAGCCUUGGAAGUGCAACAAUGGAUGGUUUGCACCAACAUGGGAGAUUAUUGUAUAGACUUUAAUAGCUUAUUGUCUCCAUGAGGACAACGUGGCAUUGUUUUUAACACAGGCGAGAGACUGUACACAUUCAAGAGGCUUUAAAAAAGUGUAAACUGAGUAAUGAGUUAUUGAUAAUGAAAAUGCACUGAACGGUUGGCUGUGGCCACUCUGCAAACACAGCUGUGUAUAAUUUAAAGUGGGUUUCCAUGUGUUGAUGACAUGUGAAGCAACAUGUUUUCACAUGUCGAUACUUUUUUGAUUUUUGGAGAAUCAAAGGCUACGAUGGUGUUAAUGUGCCUCACUGGAGCAGAAACAUCCGAAACGGGUUUGUGUGCACCUGUCAGUAAGGAGGCAUCUGCUCCAUCAGGUGGAAAUCAAGGCAGCACCUGGAAGAUGGUUAGAACCCAGGACACACACACACACACACACACACACACACACACACACACACACACACACACACACACACACAGCCAAUGACCUUCGGUGAUGUUCUUUUGUUUGUUUGCUUUUUUUUUUAAGAACACUUUUUCUAAGUUGUUUCUAAUUGCAAUCAAACCCAGACUGUCUCGUUUGAUUUGAAGGACAGUACGCGCAAUCAGAAGCAAAAAGAGGGAAAAAAUUAAAAUCUCCUAUUAGGGGAAAAAUGUAAUUUUCAGAAAUUAUAAUGUUGUUAAUGUUGUACUUUAUAAAUAUGUGUUUCUGCCAUUUUCAACACCAGAUACCAAAGAGCCAAAUGGAGCAUUUUUGGCUCUCCCAACCAUUGGAACAGAUCGAGGAUUUGCUCCCCUGAAACGAAAUCCCCGAAAAAUCAAAAGCAGCCUCAACUCUCCUCACCUCCAGCAGCUCUGCGUUGCCCAAUUGGCUUUUUUUUUUCUUUUUUUCUUUU